UCUACCUUACCUUCUCAUCAAAUGAUGCUUGAACUAAACAUAGUUUAGUGCAUAGGACAGAUAUAUAUUUUGAGUUUUUCUCUCAUAUGAAAAAUAACCAUAUAUAACUUGUUGGUAUUGUAAUGCACCCAGCAACCCUUUCAGAAAAAAAUAUUUUAUAAAAAUUGUUAAAGAAAAAAGUCUGAUUGAUAUCUUUAGAGAUAAGUUCUCCCUCACAACACACAGAGAUUAAUAGAUCAUAAAUUGAUCAAAUGUUUUUUUCUCAAAAAUGUACUGUACUUAGGAAUGAGACAAGAACACAGUGUGUGAAUUAUUAUACACUCAAGACAAACCUCAUUUAAUUUGUCAUGUGAUUCCUUUGGGUUUUAGCAAGAGGACUUUAAUUUCAGCUCUAGUGAGUUCUCAAUCUUCAGAAAUUAACUUUGAUACCAUCUGAAAUUAAGAGUAUCAACUUAUUGUAUACAUACACCUUAGUUACCAGUGCAUAUUAUUAAAUUUAUAUUUAUUUAUUUAUUUAUUUUUUAUUGUUAUUUCCCCCAACACACUUUUUUCCCCACUCUACAGCAUGGGAACCCAGUUACAUAUACAAGUAUAUGUAAAUUUUUUCUCCCAUUGUCAUGCUGUGUUUUAAGUAUCUAGACACAGUUCUCAGUGCUACACAGCAGGAUCUCAUUGUUAAUCCAUUCCAAGAGCAAGAGUUUGCAUCUGUUGACCCCAAGCUCCCAGUCCAUCCCACUCCCUCCCCCUCCCACUUGGCAACCACAAGUCUAUUCUCCAAAUUCAUGAUUCUCUUUUCUGUGGAAAGAUUCAUUUGUGCUGUAUGUUAGAUACCAGAUAUGAGUGAUAUCAUGUGGUAUUCGUCUUUCUCCUUCUGACUUACUUCAUUCAGUAUGAGAGUCUCUAGUUCCAUCCAUGUUGCUGCAAAUGGUGUUGUUUCGUUCAGUCUUUUUUAUGGCUGAGUAGCAUUCCAUUGUGUAUACAUACCACAUCUUCCUAAUUCAAUCAUCAGUUAGUGGCCAUUUGGGUUGUUUCCAUGCCUUGGCUGUUGUCAAUAGAGCUGCAGUGAACAUGCAGGUGCAUAUGUCUUUUUUUAGGGAAAGUUUUGCCGUCCAAAUAGGAAGAGAAGAGAUAAAACUGUCACUGUAUGCAGAUGACAUGAUACUAUACAUAGAAAACCCUAAUUGAUAGAUAGAAGGAAUAAAAAGAGCUGGCGUCUACCCUCAAGGAUUCCGUAGUCAGGUGGGGAAGUCAAGAACAGUAAGGCUCCCAAGGGUAGAAAGAAAUGCUAAUAAAGAGUAAAAUGCUCAGUUUUGUAUUUGUGAUGAUAUGUUUUUGUUGAGCUUUAUUCAGUGAAGUGUCAGUGUCCACUGCCUUUUGCAAUAGAGAGUAUUGGAGUAUAGAUAGUAUUGGAGUAUCGGUCCUCUUUACUGGAUGGGGCGUCCAUCCCCCAGCUACGUCAGCAGCAUAGGGCUCACAGCUGCCCCAGUAUCUGGACCCCUGCCUUUAGUUUCUUGGAAUUGCACCUCCCCACCCCAAGAGUGCAGAAGGCUGGUCCCCAUGGCUCAGUCACAGAAUAGAUUUAUGUUCUAUUAGGUCCUAUGGCUACUGAGUGCUUGUAAUGUGUCUAGGAGCUGAAUUUUUAAUCUUAUGAAUUUUAAUCACCUUAAAUAGCCAUAGGUGGCUGGUGGUUACUCUCUUGAUUAGCACACUUCUGUGUUAAAAUGUGUGUUGCCAGACUUGUCCAUUGGCUAAAACAACUCCCAGGACCAUAGAAAGCCAAGAGCUCUUGUUGAGGCUGGUUCCCACCUGUGGCUUGAUUGUUAAUGUGUUAUGACCCACAGCAUUAUUGUCCUAUAAUCUGUCCCAGGGGGUUACUAACUGAAGUGUGGCAUUGCUUCUUUUGCUGUGAUAUUAGACUUAUGGAAGAAUUCCUAAUUAUUGUUCUCCUGGAGCUUCUGAGUGAGAUAAUAGAGUUUGGUCUUUAAGGAAGCUGAUAUUCCUGUUGUUGGACCAAAGGCAUUCCAAAUGCUAGUCUGGAACAUUUUUCAAAGAAGGAAGGGGACUUCCCGUUGUGGUUCAGUGAGUUAAGAACCUGAAAUAAUGUCUAUGAGGAGGCACAAGGCAUGCACAUGAGGAUUGCUGGCCUUGCUCAGUGGGUUAAGGGUCAUGUUGCUGCAAUCUGCAGUGUAGGUCACAGCUUCAGCUCAGAUCCAGGGUUUCUAUGGCUGUUGUGUAGACCUCAGCUGCAGGUCCACUUUGAUCCCUAGCCUGGGAACUUCCAUGUGCCACAGAUGCAGCUCUAGAAAGAAAAUUAAAAAAAAAAAAGUAUGAAGGAAUAAUAGAGAAUGAAAAUGUGAGGCCUCCUUUGAUGACCUGAUCCAUUCCUGGAACCAUUCUAAUUUGGAUUUGGGCCCAGUAGAGCAUCUUUGAUUUGUAAAUAAAGGGCCAGGUUUGGUUGAUUCAGUGAGGAAGGGUACAGUACAAAGUAAUAAAUGAGAAAAACUUUAAAAACUAUGUGUUAGUAGAAGCUAAGAAAAUAAAUACUUCCUGUCACAAAUCUACUGUGAAAUUUGAGCAGAUGAAU
rnacentral:lncRNA from 1 species